rnacentral:sRNA from 1 species
ACAGUGGUUUUUAAUUUCAUCUAUCCUUUAGCUUGUUGUACCGAUGGGUGUCAAACGAAAACAGGGGAAAAAUAUGAAGCUCUAUUUUUAGACAAGAUAAUGAAAGGUUGGAAAUUGGACGAACGAUUCCGAAAAGUCAUAAAGGAAGACGAUAGAUAUAUGAUUAUGAAACUCAAUAUUUUGGCUACUAUAAGGCUUGAUUUGAUAGCUAGGUUGAUCAAAAACAGGUGCUUUCUAUUACGUGGUUGUAUGCCGGUUAUAGAGUGGCAAAAGACUUCGUAGCUUCCCGAAGAAGUGUUUCACUCCAGUACCUCGACCAUUUGCUUUUCUAGUAAUACUUUCUUUUUCAUGUCACUAAAUAAAAGAUACGAAAAGAUAGAUUUAUUUUGAUUUAUAUUUUAUGUAAUUAACAAAAUUUUAGACCUAUACAAAUUAAAAUUAUUGAGACGAGAUAUAAAACGAAAUUGUUGACUUUUUCUAUUUGUAAAUAGCAAUGUAUUUUCUGACGAUGCUAUUUCGACCAAAUACUUAAAAUAAAUAAAAAAAAACAGUUGCUAUUA